CAGUCGCCGCGGUAAUACGAAGGGUGCAAGCGUUACUCGGAAUUACUGGGCGUAAAGCGUGCGUAGGUGGUGGUUUAAGUCCGUUGUGAAAUCCCCGGGCUCAACCUGGGAAUGGCAAUGGAUACUGGCAAGCUAGAGUGUGUCAGAGGAUGGUGGAAUUCCCGGUGUAGCGGUGAAAUGCGCAGAGAUCGGGAGGAACAUCAGUGGCGAAGGCGGCCAUCUGGGACAACACUGACGCUGAGGCACGAAAGCGUGGGGAGCAAACAGGAUUAGAUACCCCUGUAGUCCCUGUCUCUUAUAC
rnacentral:rRNA from 1 species